AUUGGGACUGAGAUACGGCCCAGACUCCUACGGGAGGCAGCAGUGGGGAAUAUUGCACAAUGGGCGCAAGCCUGAUGCAGCGACGCCGCGUGCGGGAUGACGGCCUUCGGGUUGUAAACCGCUUUUGACUGGGAGCAAGCCCUUCGGGGUGAGUGUACCUUUCGAAUAAGCACCGGCUAACUACGUGCCAGCAGCCGCGGUAAUACGUAGGGUGCAAGCGUUAUCCGGAAUUAUUGGGCGUAAAGGGCUCGUAGGCGGUUCGUCGCGUCCGGUGUGAAAGUCCAUCGCUUAACGGUGGAUCCGCGCCGGGUACGGGCGGGCUUGAGUGCGGUAGGGGAGACUGGAAUUCCCGGUGUAACGGUGGAAUGUGUAGAUAUCGGGAAGAACACCAAUGGCGAAGGCAGGUCUCUGGGCCGUCACUGACGCUGAGGAGCGAAAGCGUGGGGAGCGAACAGGAUUAGAUACCCUGGUAGUCCACGCCGUAAACGGUGGAUGCUGGAUGUGGGGACCAUUCCACGGUCUCCGUGUCGGAGCCAACGCGUUAAGCAUCCCGCCUGGGGAGUACGGCCGCAAGGCUAAAACUCAAAGAAAUUGACGGGGGCCCGCACAAGCGGCGGAGCAUGCGGAUUAAUUCGAUGCAACGCGAAGAACCUUACCUGGGCUUGACAUGUUCCCGACAGCCGUAGAGAUACGGUCUCCCUUCGGGGCGGGUUCACAGGUGGUGCAUGGUCGUCGUCAGCUCGUGUCGUGAGAUGUUGGGUUAAGUCCCGCAACGAGCGCAACCCU
rnacentral:rRNA from 1 species